AGAGUUGUAUCCUGGCUCAGGACGAACGCUGGCGGUGCGCCUUAUGCAUGCAAGUCGAGCGAAGCUUUUCAGUAGUUUACUACAGAAAAUGACUGAGCGGCGAACGGGUGAGUAACGCGUGAGCAAUCUACCUUAGUUACAGGGAUAGCCCGAGGAAACUCGGAUUAAUACCUGAUAUUCUUUAUUUCUCGCAUGAGAAUAAAAGGAAAGGUCAGCCGAACUAAGAUGAGCUCGCGUUCUAUCAGCUAGUUGGUGAGGUAAAAGCUCACCAAGGCUACGACGGAUAGCUGGUCUGAGAGGACGAUCAGCCACACUGGGACUGAGACACGGCCCAGACUCCUACGGGAGGCUGCAGCAGGGAAUAUUGCGCAAUGAGCGAAAGCUUGACGCAGCGACACCGCGUGUGGGAUGACGGAUCUAGGUUUGUAAACCACUUUCAGGAGGGAAGAAAAUGACGGUACCUCCACAAGAAGCCCCGGCCAACUACGUGCCAGCAGCCGCGGUAAUACGUAGGGGGCGAGCGUUGUCCGGAUUUAUUGGGCGUAAAGAGCUCGUAGGCGGUUCAACAAGUCGGUCGUGAAAGUUCAGGGCUCAACCCUGAAAUGUCGAUCGAUACUGUUGUGACUAGGAUACGGUAGAGGUGAGUGGAAUUCCGAGUGUAGCGGUGAAAUGCGUAGAUAUUCGGAGGAACACCAAUUGCGAAGGCAGCUCACUGGGCCGCUAUCGACGCUGAGGAGCGAAAGCUAGGGGAGCAAACAGGAUUAGAUACCCUGGUAGUCCUAGCUGU
rnacentral:rRNA from 1 species